rnacentral:lncRNA from 1 species
AUGGUUUGGAUUCAAUCAUGGGUUCUAAAGAACCCCUUUCAUUCAAAACACCCUUUUGAAGCAGUUUCUAAAACUAUAUAUCGACAUAUAUUUCGUUUGUAUACUUUAUACAAACUUUGCUCCAAGCUUGAGACCAUUGUAGUACAAUACUAACAAUUCAUUCAUAUGAUUAGUACUUCAUCCAUCAUGAAGUUCCAUUUGUUAAAAUGGCUUAUUUUCACUUUGGUUAACAACC